ACAUGCAAGUCGAGCGGAAACGAGUUAUCUGAACCUUCGGGGAACGACAACGGCGUCGAGCGGCGGACGGGUGAGUAAUGCCUAGGAAAUUGCCCUGAUGUGGGGGAUAACCAUUGGAAACGAUGGCUAAUACCGCAUGAUGCCUACGGGCCAAAGAGGGGGACCUUCGGGCCUCUCGCGUCAGGAUAUGCCUAGGUGGGAUUAGCUAGUUGGUGAGGUAAGGGCUCACCAAGGCGACGAUCCCUAGCUGGUCUGAGAGGAUGAUCAGCCACACUGGAACUGAGACACGGUCCAGACUCCUACGGGAGGCAGCAGUGGGGAAUAUUGCACAAUGGGCGCAAGCCUGAUGCAGCCAUGCCGCGUGUGUGAAGAAGGCCUUCGGGUUGUAAAGCACUUUCAGUCGUGAGGAAGGUGGUGUAGUUAAUAGCUGCAUUAUUUGACGUUAGCGACAGAAGAAGCACCGGCUAACUCCGUGCCAGCAGCCGCGGUAAUACGGAGGGUGCGAGCGUUAAUCGGAAUUACUGGGCGUAAAGCGCAUGCAGGUGGUUUGUUAAGUCAGAUGUGAAAGCCCGGGGCUCAACCUCGGAAUAGCAUUUGAAACUGGCAGACUAGAGUACUGUAGAGGGGGGUAGAAUUUCAGGUGUAGCGGUGAAAUGCGUAGAGAUCUGAAGGAAUACCGGUGGCGAAGGCGGCCCCCUGGACAGAUACUGACACUCAGAUGCGAAAGCGUGGGGAGCAAACAGGAUUAGAUACCCUGGUAGUCCACGCCGUAAACGAUGUCUACUUGGAGGUUGUGGCCUUGAGCCGUGGCUUUCGGAGCUAACGCGUUAAGUAGACCGCCUGGGGAGUACGGUCGCAAGAUUAAAACUCAAAUGAAUUGACGGGGGCCCGCACAAGCGGUGGAGCAUGUGGUUUAAUUCGAUGCAACGCGAAGAACCUUACCUACUCUUGACAUCCAGAGAACUUUCCAGAGAUGGAUUGGUGCCUUCGGGAACUCUGAGACAGGUGCUGCAUGGCUGUCGUCAGCUCGUGUUGUGAAAUGUUGGGUUAAGUCCCGCAACGAGCGCAACCCUUAUCCUUGUUUGCCAGCGAGUAAUGUCGGGAACUCCAGGGAGACUGCCGGUGAUAAACCGGAGGAAGGUGGGGACGACGUCAAGUCAUCAUGGCCCUUACGAGUAGGGCUACACACGUGCUACAAUGGCGCAUACAGAGGGCAGCCAACUUGCGAAAGUGAGCGAAUCCCAAAAAGUGCGUCGUAGUCCGGAUUGGAGUCUGCAACUCGACUCCAUGAAGUCGGAAUCGCUAGUAAUCGUGGAUCAGAAUGCCACGGUGAAUACGUUCCCGGGCCUUGUACACACCGCCCGUCACACCAUGGGAGUGGGCUGCAAAAGAAGUAGGUAGUUUAACCUUCGGGGGGACGCUUACCACUU
rnacentral:rRNA from 1 species